AAUAUUUUCCAGUAUUCAAUUCUUUAACAUAAAUAGAUAAUCAUUUAACUUUCCUUUUGACACCAGUUCUUUGAUAUUAUCUCUCCAUUCAGUUAUCUUGGUGAAGGCACUUUAAAAACAACACACAUUUCCUGUCUAGUUUGUUCUACUGAUCAACAAUACUUUCUGAAAGGAACUACAUCUGCUCCAGAUGCAAGAUGCUGAGCCGAAAUGGGAACAGAACUUCAAUUAGCAUAUGUUUAUGUCCUUUUGCACCAGAUCAUUCAAUGCAUGUGGACUGCUUGGAAGUGAUUUAAAGCAAGAAGUAAGGGAGUUGGAAAGCAGGAAGCAAUGGGAAGGAAACAAACAGAAGUUCAAAGGUAUGUUUAAGGUGCUCAAGGGCAGAGAACAUGUCUUAUGCUUUAAAAACAAGUCCUCCAUGGUACCUCACUAUACUAGGUACUCAACAAAUAUUUACUGAUCUGAUCUGAGUGAAAAAACAUUAAAAGAAAGAUAUAGUGGACAAACUUAAGAACCUUCAAAUCACUACCUG
rnacentral:lncRNA from 1 species